rnacentral:rRNA from 1 species
UAAUAGCUCACUGGUCGAGUCGGCCUGCGCGGAAGAUGUAACGGGGCUAAACCAUGCACCGAAGCUGCGGCAGCGACACUAUGUGUUGUUGGGUAGGGGAGCGUUCUGUAAGCCUGCGAAGGUGUACUGUGAGGUAUGCUGGAGGUAUCAGAAGUGCGAAUGCUGACAUAAGUAACGAUAAAGCGGGUGAAAAGCCCGCUCGCCGGAAGACCAAGGGUUCCUGUCCAACGUUAAUCGGGGCAGGGUGAGUCGACCCCUAAGGCGAGGCCGAAAGGCGUAGUCGAUGGGAAACAGGUUAAUAUUCCUGUACUUGGUGUUACUGCGAAGGGGGGACGGAGAAGGCUAUGUUGGCCGGGCGACGGUUGUCCCGGUUUAAGCGUGUAGGCUGGUUUUCCAGGCAAAUCCGGAAAAUCAAGGCUGAGGCGUGAUGACGAGGCACUACGGUGCUGAAGCAACAAAUGCCCUGCUUCCAGGAAAAGCCUCUAAGCAUCAGGUAACAUCAAAUCGUACCCCAAACCGACACAGGUGGUCAGGUAGAGAAUACCAAGGCGCUUGAGAGAACUCGGGUGAAGGAACUAGGCAAAAUGGUGCCGUAACUUCGGGAGAAGGCACGCUGAUA